rnacentral:rRNA from 1 species
GAUGAACGCUGGCGGCGUGCCUAAUACAUGCAAGUCGAGCGAAUGGAUUAAGAGCUUGCUCUUAUGAAGUUAGCGGCGGACGGGUGAGUAACACGUGGGUAACCUGCCCAUAAGACUGGGAUAACUCCGGGAAACCGGGGCUAAUACCGGAUAACAUUUUGAACCGCAUGGUUCGAAAUUGAAAGGCGGCUUCGGCUGUCGCUUAUGGAUGGACCCGCGUCGCAUUAGCUAGUUGGUGAGGUAACGGCUCACCAAGGCAACGAUGCGUAGCCGACCUGAGAGGGUGAUCAGCCACACUGGUACUGAGACACGGCCCAGACUCCUACGGGAGGCAGGAGUAGGGAAUCUUCCGCAAUGGACGAAAGUCUGACGGAGCAACGCCGCGUGAGUGAUGAAGGCUUUCGGGUCGUAAAACUCUGUUGUUAGGGAAGAACAAGUGCUAGUUGAAUAAGCUGACACCUUGACGGCACCUAACCAGAAAGCCACGGCUAACUACGUGCCAGCCGCCGCCGUAA